rnacentral:rRNA from 1 species
UACGAAGGGUGCUAGCGUUGUUCGGAAUCACUGGGCGUAAAGCGCGCGUAGGCGGUUUUUCAAGUCAGAGGUGAAAGCCUGGAGCUUAACUCCAGAAUUGCCUUUGAAACUGUAAAGCUGGAGUGUCGGAGGGGAUAGCGGAAUUGCUAAUGUAGAGGUGAAAUUCGUAGAUAUUAGCAGGAACACCGGUGGCGAAGGCGGCUAUCUGGACGACAACUGACGCUGAGGCGCGAAAGCGUGGGGAUCAAACAGG